UGGCCUCCGCGGCCCGUGCGAGUGCGCCCUUCUCGGGUCCCCUAGGUCGCGGGGCAGCCGGGGCGGAAGGGGCUUGUUCAUUAUUUUGAGAGUUUGUUGUGAACGUCAUAACCUUUCGUCCUUAAAUAUUGCCGAUACUUGACCUACGCAAGAGACAAUGUCAUGUGAUUCAGCCUAAUAUCUCAGAGGAUGCAGCAUUCAAGGUUCUAUCUUGGAAGCAGAGACUGUGCCCUCACCAGAUGCUGAACCUGCUGAGCACCCUGAUCUUCCACUUCACCUUCAUCAGAACUACUGGGGCUGUGGCUGAGAUGUCACAUGGCAGAUAGGAUCACAAAUUUCUGUUGUAUCUGGAUGGAGAUCAGCAGGAGGAUCUAUGGGUGAGAAGAAGCACAGUUACAGAUGGAUUCUAGAGCCUGCUUGCUGACACAGGCUUGCAACUGCGGACUUUAUAAGCUUAGUUUUUAAUCUGCUAUCAGCUAGCAUAAUACCAUAAAUGCAUAAGAAACUAAGUAUUCAGUCUUACGAGAAAUGCUAUCUUGACCUGACCCUUUCUCCAAAUAAAUUGACAAAAUAUCUCAUCGUCUAGGAUGCCAGACAGAAAUACCAGUUGCAAUGUUUUGUUGCAUAAAGUUUAUCCUAAUUUAAAUUAGUGGCAUAUAAAGUCAUCAUCUUGCUUGAACAAACAUCUUAUUAAAUUGAGCAUGUCUUUUAUCCCAUGAAAUGAAAUUAAUUUUGAGAUAGUUAUUUUUCAGUUGGAAAUUUAUUGAGUUGAUAGAAAACAAGUUAUAUAGUCUUCCAAAGAAUAUGUUACAUCCAUUUGCAUUUUGUUUUUCUUCAGCAAUGUUUGGUUUUUAGAAAAUCUUACAAGUUAAAUA
rnacentral:lncRNA from 1 species